CCCCGGUGACCCACGUCCGGGCGAGGGAAAUCUGGGUUCAUUUCGUUGUAAUUCCAUAGAAGUCUUUGAGCUGCUCUUUGUCUGAUCACUCACCUAGGACCUGUUUGUCUUGGGAGACCCUACCAGGGGGCAUGAAAACCCCCAGACAACAUAGCUCCUAGGAUCAUUGGGACACGCAAACUCCUCUACCACGCUGAAUAGGACCACAAGGACUCACCUGACCCUCAUGAAUUCAUCAUUUACUGAGAGGACGACUCUGUUGGACGUUGCGGACAAAAGCCUCACUUUUUUAUAAAAAAUUUACAAAACAUUGUUUUGAAUAUGAUUGCUUGGUAUUUCAACUAGGCAUUUUUUAAUAAACAAACUGUGAACUCA